GGGCCCGCACAAGCGGUGGAGCAUGUGGUUUAAUUCGAUGCAACGCGAAAAACCUUACCUACCCUUGACUUCCUUGGAAGCUUUCAGAGAUGAGAGUGUGCCUUCGGGAACCAAGUGACAGGUGCUGCAUGGCUGUCGUAAGCUCGUGUCGUGAGAUGUUGGGUUAAGUCCCGUAACGAGCGCAACCCCUAUCUCUAGUUGCCAGCAAGUUUGGUUGGGGACUCUAGAGAGACCGCCGGUGAUAAACCGGAGGAAGGCGGGGAUGACGUCAAGUCAUCAUGGCCCUUAUGGGUAGGGCUACACACGUGCUACAAUGGACAGUACAGAGGGUUGCGAAGCGGUAACGUGGAGCUAAUCUCACAAAGCUGUUCAUAGUCCGGAUUGGAGUCUGCAACUCGACUCCAUGAAGUUGGAAUCGCUAGUAAUCG
rnacentral:rRNA from 1 species